rnacentral:rRNA from 1 species
GGGUUAAGUCCCGCAACGAGCGCAACCCUUAUCCCUAGUUGCCAUCAGGUAAAGCUGGGAACUCUGGGGAGACUGCCGGUGAUAAACCGGAGGAAGGCGGGGAUGACGUCAAGUCCUCAUGGCCCUUACAUCCCGGGCUACACACGUGCUACAAUGGCAGGUACAGAGGGCUGCGAAGCCGCGAGGUGGAGCGAAUCCCAGAAAACCUGUCUCAGUCCGGAUUGAAGUCUGCAACUCGACUUCAUGAAGGCGGAAUCGCUAGUAACCGCGAAUCAGCAGGUCGCGGUGAAUACGUUCCCGGGCCUU